rnacentral:tmRNA from 1 species
GGGCCCGACCAGGUUUCGACGUGGGUGCGGAUUCGGAGUGGGGCAUGCCGAGCAUCAGUGAGCUCGUAAAUCCAGCUGAAACAAACCAACUGCGAACGACGAACGUUUCGCCCUCGCCGCUUAAACACCGGUGAGCCUCUCAACGGUUGGCCGAUGGGCCGGGUCCGAGGUCGCAAGACCAAGGGCUGAGGGGUAAUACACAUUGGCUGGUUCCUUGCUGUGCCACACAGCACCGAACGAGAUCUAGUGGCUGGCGUUGUCCGUAGCGUGCUCCUGCGCGACGGCGACGUGAGACUCAAAUCAGAAAGCUAAGCAUGUAGAUCUGCCCGAUGAUGGCUUGCGGACGGGGGUUCGAUUCCCCCCGGGUCCACCA